UACGUAGGAUGCAAGCGUUGUCCGGAAUUAUUGGGCGUAAAGGGCGCGUAGGCGGCUCUGCACGUUCGUUGUGAAAUCGCCCGGCUCAACUGGGCGGGGUCAGCGGAUACGGCAGAGCUUGAGCAAGCUAGGGGGCAAUGGAAUUCCCGGUGUAGUGGUGGAAUGCGUAGAUAUCGGGAGGAACACCAGUGGCGAAGGCGGUUGCCUGGGGCUUUGCUGACGCUGAUGCGCGAAAGCGUGGGGAGCGAGUCCGG
rnacentral:rRNA from 1 species